UUCCCGAGGCGCCUCCGAGGAAUUUUGAACUCCCCCCUCGAUCUGCCACGCCAGCCACCACGGCAUUUGAGCUCCCGGCGAGGGUUCGGGCGGCGGCGCAACAUGGCCGGGAAGAAGACCACCCCAGUAAAACCCGCUCCUCCCUCCACCCAGCGCAACGGCGGCGCCACCCCCGGCUCCAAGGGCCGGCCAAAGCAAGCUUCGGGUGAGUCCUCAGCCGCCAGCGCCAAGGCGCGGUCGGCCCCGAAACCUCGCAAAAUCACCCAGGAGAAGCCGGCGGCCGCGAAGAGGAAGCGCGACAAGCCGGAGCCCCAAGAGGGCGGCAAGCGUAAGAAGCAGCAGGCGUCUGGCGACGCGGCGACGCCCGCGAAGAAGAGGAAGAAGGGCGACGGCCCGGAACCCAAGCCCGCGAAGAAGAAGCAGCAACCCGGCAAGCCGGAGAAGCCCGCGACGCCCUCGAAGAAGCAGCAGUCAUCCGGCAAGCCGAAGAAGCCCGCGACGCCCGUUAAGAAGCAGCAGUCACCCGGCAAGCCGGAGAAGCCCCUGACGCCCGCGAAGAAGCAGAAAUCAACCAGCAAAGCGGAGAAGCCCGCGCCCACGCCGAAGAAGCAGCAGCAGUCACCCGGCAAAGCGCGGAAGUCUGCGGCGCCCGCGACCACUCCCACGAAGAAGCAAACCAAGAGCGAGAAGCCCACGCCCACCAAGAGGAAGCGCGGCGACGAUGAGCCCCAAAAUGAGGCCAGGAGCCCGAAGAGAGCUUCCGGCGAUGGGGAUGCGCCCGCAUCUACGCCCCUGAAGAAGAAGCGGAAGGACCAGAAGGCGGCUGCGGCCGACUUGGGUUCGUGCAGCUUCCCGAUGGCGCGGGUGCGGCAGCUGAUGCGGGCCGAGGACGCCACCAUCCGCGCAUCCAAUGAGGCUGUCUUCCUCAUUAAUAAGGCAUCGGAGUUAUUCUUGGGGAAGUUUGCAUGGGAUGCUUAUCGCAAUGCUGUGAAGGAUCGUAAGAAGUCAAUUAUUUACGAUAAUCUUUGUUGUCUAGUAAGACAUACACAAGUUGAAGAAAUACGUAAGACAUACAAACAUGUGUCCUGGCAUGGGCGUUCGAACGCCGCCAAUCCGUGCCCACGGAAACAUGUGUCGCCAGCAGCCACCUUCCGUCACGCCCCAUCCAAUGCACGCCCACGUCGACCUCCAAGGCGCCCUCUACGGCCGGAGUGCCAGGCUCAACACCAGCAACGUCCGGCGCCCCACUCAAGCUGGCGGCUAUUGCCGUCAGGCGGUUCAAACGCCUAUCACCUGAAGAGAUGGCACAACGGCGCCUUGACGGCCUGUGCUUCAACUGCCCCGAGAAGUUCUCGCGCGACCACGUCAAGUACUGCACCGGCAAGGGCAUCUAUCUCCUAGAUUUGGGCGCUGACGAGGAUGCUUCGGACGGCAGUGGAUCUGAUGAUGACCUCAAGGUCUUGGUGGCGGCCAUCACUGGCAUCCAGACGAAUGCUAUGCUUCAACUGGCCACCAUUGCCCGCGACACUCAUGCCAUGGCCCUGGUCGACUCAGGCUCUACUCACUCGUUUGUCGACGAGUCGCUGGCGCAACGUCUCGGCUUUACCCCGGAGCCUUGUCCCGGCCUCUCCGUCGGCAUGGCGAAUGGUGAUCACGUCACCUCUGCGGGGGUGUGCAAGGCGGUGCGCCCCGUCAUUGACAAGGAAGAGUUCACGAUUGACCUUUUCGUCAUUCCCCUAGGCGGCUUCGGCAUCGUCCUUGGCUGCGACUGGCUCCGCUCACUCGACCCCAUCCUCUUGGACUUCACCAACCUGGCCAUGGUGUUUUGGCGGCAGGACCACCGUGUCCAAUGGAGCGGCAUCCGCAACCAGGCCACUCUUGCGCGUGGUGGAGGCCGACGCGCGCGACCUUCUGACUGCCCUUCUAGCUGAGUUCGCGGACUUGUUCGCUGAACCCAAGGGCCUUCGGCCGGCGCAUGCGUUCGACCACCGGAUCCAUCUGUUGCCGGGGACACCACCGGUGGCCGUGCGCCCUUACCUCUAAGCGCAGUUGCUCAAAGAUGAAAUUGAAGCCCAAUGCCAGGCGAUGUUGGCGCAAGGGAUCAUUCUCCAAAGCACGUCAGCUUUCUCAUCUCCGGUGCUCUUGGUUCGCAAAUGCGACGGCUCGUGGCGUUUUUGCGUGGACUAUCGUGCCUUGAACAUCAAGACGGUGCGCGACAAGUUUCCCAUCCCGAUUGUCGAAGAACUGCUGGACGAACUCAAGAGCGCGGUGUUCUUCACCAAGCUGGACCUACGCAGUGGCUAUCAUCAGGUCCGCAUGCACCCCGACUACAUCGCGAAGAUGGCGUUUCGAAAUCAUGACGGGCAUUUUGAGUUCCUAGUGAUGCCAUUUGGCCUCACCAAUGCCCUGUCUACCUUCCAGGUGUUGAUGAACGCUGUGCUGCAGCCGUUCCUCCGUCGGUGCGUCCUCGUUUUCUUUGAUGAUAUCCUUAUCUUCAGCAGGUCAUGGUUGGAACACCUAGAGCACGUCCGCGCUGUCUUCCUCGCACUGCGACAACACGGACUCAUGCUUAAGCGCUCCAAGUGCUCGUUCGGGGAGCAACGGAUCCAAUACUUGGGUCAUGUCAUCGCCGACGGCGUCAUGGCCAUGGACACUAACAAGAUCAGCACAGUGCAAGCGUGGCCCCUGCCCCAUUCCAUUAAGGCGCUUCGCGGCUUCCUCGGGCUCACCGGCUACUAUCGCCGGUUCAUCCACGACUACGGCGCCAUUGACGGCCCUCCUUAAGUGGGAAGCUUUCCAAUGGACAUCGGCGGCAACAACGGCCUUCGAUGCGCUUGCGCUCAAACAGGCUCUCACGUCGGCGCCGGGCCUUCAAUUGCCGGACUUCGACAAGCCCUUCAUCGUCGACUGUGACGCCUCCGGCACGGGCUUUGGCGCGGUGCUUCAUCAAGGAGACGGACCGAUCGCGUUCUUUAGUCGCUUGGUCGCCCCAGAACAUGCCAAGCUUGCUGCGUACAAGCGCGAACUUAUCGGCCUCGUCCAAGUUGUCCGGCACUGGCGGCCGUAUCUCUGGACGCGGGAGUUCAUCGUCCGCACCGAUCACUGCAGCCUCAAGCACCUCCUGGACCAGCGGCUUGCCACCAUUCCGCAGCACAUGAGGGUGAUCGAACAUAUUAACUCCAUGGCGUACCGCCCGCGUCUUCCUCCUAAGGUGCGCAUUCAUGAUGUCUUCCACGUCGUGUUCCUGAAGAAGCACCAUGGCGCGCCACUGUCGUCCGUGGUCGCCCUGCCUCCCAUCGCUCACGGCUGCGUGCUACCGGUCCCGGCUAAGGUCCUUCGGGCUACACCGGCGCGCAAUUCUUGGGCCCUGCUGGUGCAGUGGGAGGGGUGCAGUCCAGCGUAGGCUACAUGGGAGCACCUGCCAAAGUUCAAGGAGAAGUACCCAUCGUCGAAGCUCGAGGACGAGUUUUUUGGUCGAGGGGGGGGGGGGGGGGGAGUGUUGUGGACACUUUCAUUGGCAAGAAAUACCAGCGCAAGAAGAAAGGAAUCGUGGCUACAGCUGAGGAACUGAAAGAUAGUUUUGGUUUUGUUUCCUUUUUAUUCGACUGUAAUUCAGGGAGUGUUUGUUACAUGGAGACUCUAUAUCAUUGUAAGGGCUGCGGCUCAUUAAGGUUAAGCAGAAAAGAUAAUCCCUUGUGUGCUCAGAGCCUCUAGCGAGGGCGAGCCAGGGUGUUAUCAAUCUGCCAUUCGUGUUAUCCUUCCAUAAGCCAUAUCAAAAACAGUCAUUGUAGAUUGUAUAAGUACACCACUGAUGCGCGGGAGACAACUAGUCCCUUAAACAACGUAUAGAUGGCAAUCAAUUUGAUCCUUUU